GACGAACGCUGGCGGCGUGCCUAAUACAUGCAAGUCGAACGCAGUGGGGACGGGUGAGUAACACGUGGGUAACCUCCCCUCAGAGGGGAUAACCCUUGGAAACAGGUGCUAAACCGAUACUGAUGGCUGAACCCGCGGGUCAUUAGCUAGUUGGUGAGGUAACUGCUCACCAAGGACCCGAUGCAUAGCCGACCUGGUAGGGUGAUCGGCCACACUGGGACUGAGACACGGCCCAGAAUCCUACGGGAGGCAGCAGUAGGGAAUCUUCGGCAAUGGACGAAAGUCUGACCGAGCAACGCCGCGUGAGUGAAGAAGGUUUUCGGAUCGUAAAACUCUGUUGUUAGAGAAGCGGUAUCUAACCAGAAAGCCACGGCUAACUACGUGCCAGCCGCCGCGGUAAUUC
rnacentral:rRNA from 1 species